AUUAAUGAAAUAUCAGUGCAGAGAACAGAGCCUGAUUAAUAUGCAGCAAAUAACACCUAACACAUAGAGGUAUAGUUUAUUACAUGACUUGAGCAUCAACUACGUACAAGAAGCCAUGCAUGGUUAAAUGCACUCAUUUUUGGCACUGUCACCUUGACUACUUGCUAAGUUCGCCUGCUAUCAAAAUAAGAUUCUGCUUCUUUUCUAAGAUGCAAUAAACAUUUCAUUGCAACACUACGUGAUUAGUUGGCUAACAUAGCAAAUAAAAUUAAAGCACUACUGACUAGCAGACUAGACUACAAUACACUCAAACCUUAAUACUAUAACAAUCACAGAUAUAAUGAAUUAUUGGAUAUAAGAAAUUAAGUCUGAAAUCAUUUUUUCCGACAUCUGCAAGUAACAAAUAUAUGCUUUAACGAAUACCGCAUAUAACAAAAGCAACUUCAUUGCAAUGAGGUUCAACUGUGUUACAAAACAAUUAGCAGUAAAAUGGGCAUUUGAAAGUUUGGACUAAGACAAGCAUGUAAGACAUAAGACAGCUUUAGUACGGCAUAUGCAAAGUCCUUGCUUGCAUUAUAAUAUAGCAGGCCCAACUGUGUGCACGCACAGAAUACAGCGGGGAGCUUUGCAUGUUACAUGAACAUGCUAUCUCUUGGAUUUAAUGCCAAAGCCUUUUCA
rnacentral:lncRNA from 1 species